CCAGUGGGUUCACUCACCACUUGGAGCCAGAUUGGGCCGGGGCAGACUAGGGCUGCUACUGCUGCCGCCGCCGCCACCUCCCGGAUUGCUUCCUGACAGCUGAGGAAACUAAGACCCAGAAAAAUAAGAAGACUUGCCUGUAAAAGAAGUGGCAAGAUCAGAUUCUGAACUCAAGGCCUUGGAUUUUCAUCCUUUUCCUCCAUUUCACCAUGUUUCCUUUCUUCAGGGAGGAACUGGUGGAGAGGAGGCUAGGUCUUCCAGGCAUGGGGGAACAACUUCAGUGAAUGUCUCAAGGAAAUGAUAAAGGUGGGGGGGAUGACAAAUGAACUGAUGUGAAGUGAACUGAGAAGAACUGGAAGACUGAUGGACACGAUGCUUUGCAAAAUUCUGGGGCUUGAUACAACCAUCAUGACAUCAUCUGCAAGCAGAAGCUUUUGGAGAACCGCACCAUCUACUUCUUCACUUUGGCAUAUAUGUUAUAUGGCUUUCAUCACAAUGACAAACACCUUAAGCAAGCUUUAUGUCUCACCUGAUGUUUACAAAUAAAGCAUGGUUGAACAAUGUUA